GGGACGAACGCUGGCGGCGUGCUUAACACAUGCAAGUCGAACGGAAAGGCCCCCACCUUGGUGGGGGUGCUCGAGUGGCGAACGGGUGAGUAACACGUGGGUGAUCUGCCCUGUACUUCGGGAUAAGCUUGGGAAACUGGGUCUAAUACCGGAUAGGACCAUGGUUUAGUGUCUCAUGGUGGAAAGAUUAUUGUUUUGGUGCAGGAUGAGCUCGCGGCCUAUCAGCUUGUUGGUGGGGUAAUGGCCUACCAAGGCGUCGACGGGUAGCCGGCCUGAGAGGGUGGACGGCCACAUUGGGACUGAGAUACGGCCCAGACUCCUACGGGAGGCAGCAGUGGGGAAUAUUGCACAAUGGGCGCAAGCCUGAUGCAGCGACGCCGCGUGGGGGAUGACGGCCUUCGGGUUGUAAACUCCUUUCGUUAGGGACGAAGCCACACCUUUUUUUGGGUGUGGUGACGGUACCUUUGUUAAGAAGCACCGGCUAACUACGUGCCAGCAGCCGCGGUAAUACGUAGGGUGCGAGCGUUGUCCGGAAUUACUGGGCGUAAAGAGCUCGUAGGUGGUUUGUUGCGUCGUCUGUGAAAUUCCGGGGCUUAACUUCGGGGUGGCAGGCGAUACGGGCAUAACUAGAGUGCUGUAGGGGAGACUGGAAUUCCUGGUGUAGCGGUGGAAUGCGCAGAUAUCAGGAGGAACACCGAUGGCGAAGGCAGGUCUCUGGGCAGUAACUGACGCUGAGGAGCGAAAGCAUGGGGAGCGAACAGGAUUAGAUACCCUGGUAGUCCAUGCUGUAAACGGUGGGCGUUAGGUGUGGGGACCGGUUUGGUUUCUGUGCCGUAGCUAACGCAUUAAGCGCCCCGCCUGGGGAGUACGGCCGCAAGGCUAAAACUCAAAGGAAUUGACGGGGGCCCGCACAAGCGGCGGAGCAUGUGGAUUAAUUCGAUGCAACGCGAAGAACCUUACCUGGGUUUGACAUGCACCAGACGGUUGUAGAGAUACGUACCUCCCUUUGUGGUUGGUGUGCAGGUGGUGCAUGGUUGUCGUCAGCUCGUGUCGUGAGAUGUUGGGUUAAGUCCCGCAACGAGCGCAACCCUUGUCUUAUGUUGCCAGCACGUUUUUGGGUGGGGACUCAUGAGAGACUGCCGGGGUUAACUCGGAGGAAGGUGGGGAUGACGUCAAAUCAUCAUGCCCUUUAUGCCCAGGGCUUCACACAUGCUACAAUGGUUAGUACAACGCGCUGCAAGCCUGUGAGGGUGAGCGAAUCGCUGAAAGCUAAUCUCAGUUCGGAUUGGGGUCUGCAACUCGACCCCAUGAAGUCGGAGUCGCUAGUAAUCGCAGAUCAGCAAUGCUGCGGUGAAUACGUUCCCGGGCCU
rnacentral:rRNA from 1 species